rnacentral:misc_RNA from 1 species
AAGUCGUAACAAGGUUUCCGUAGGUGAACCUGCGGAAGGAUCAUUAUCAAUUUACGUUUAAUUGCUUUAUGCGGUUAUUUGUUUUUUGUGCACUGUUUUAGGUUUUUAUUUUUUUCUUUUCGUAAGAGAAUUAAAAGAUUGACUUGAAAAAAAUUUGAUUUUCUUUAUAUUUUAUAUUUUUAUUUUUUUACUUGGUUAUAACAAUAGUUAUAACUAAUUAAUUUAAUUAAAAAAAAAGACAACUUUCAGCAAUGGAUCUCUUGGCUCUU